rnacentral:lncRNA from 1 species
AACCAUCAACUUUGUUUGCACUUGAGGAACCAUUGGGUCGAGUGGAUCUCUAUAGUUUAACUGUUCCUGCACAAACAAUGAUGCAACUCAAUGUAAAGAUAUAGAAAGUAUAUAUUAGUCAUCCUAAGAUUAUGCACUAUAACGGCUCUCUCUUUAGUGCUGUAUAUUAGCUUUCCUUAUUCCUCUUUGUACUCUGAUAUAUAUGUACCUAUUACGUGAUAAUACAAGACAAGAAAUUCCAUAACCUGAUACUCAAGUUGAUA